CCAAUUUGAAAAAGAAUAAAUAAAGUAAUUGACUUGAACCAGAAAAUGACAUGGAAAAAGUGAUUAUUUGCAAGUUAUCUUAGGUUGACUGUUUUUUCAGAGUUGAUCUAUGCCACCCACCAUUCUGAUGUAGGCUACUACACAAUGUCUUCUGUUUCUGUCAAAAGAAAUCAAAACAUUUUAACCCUAACAAUAUACUGUCUCCCAAUUUGGUGUCUUACUACAAUUUAACUUUUGUAAUGGAACUUUUAAUCUUUUCCUGUAUAUUAUAUUAAUUGAAAUGUCUUUGUUGCCAUUUAACAGGGGAUCCAGCCAGAGUCAGUGGAUGAGAUGGUGGUUCGGAAACCAAAAUUGAAGUUGGUGUCAAAUCAGGUGUAAAAUCCACCUUGUAUGCAGCAUAUUCAGCUAGACAGGCUUGUCACCUUUGAUGUCCAGGGGGCCUUGGUAGUUCGUCAACAGGCAGCAAACUGCCCAUAGUUGGUUGAUGGAGCCGGCCAAGGAGAGAGGAACAACCCCAUCCCAGAUAUGACACAGUGUGGAUUAUUGGUGACUGGUCCGUCGAGGUGCC